rnacentral:rRNA from 1 species
UCCGUAGGUGAACCUGCGGAGGGAUCAUUACCGAGUUUACAACUCCCAAACCCAUGUGAACAUACCUACUGUUGCUUCGGCGGGAUUGCCCCGGGCGCCUCGUGUGCCCCGGAUCAGGCGCCCGCCUAGGAAACUCAACUCUUGUUUUAUUUUGGAAUCUUCUGAGUAGUUUUUACAAAUAAAUAAAAACUUUCAACAACGGAUCUCUUGGUUCUGGCAUCGAUGAAGAACGCAGCGAAAUGCGAUAAGUAAUGUGAAUUGCAGAAUUCAGUGAAUCAUCGAAUCUUUGAACGCACAUUGCGCCCGCCAGUAUUCUGGCGGGCAUGCCUGUCUGAGCGUCAUUUCAACCCUCAUGCCCCUAGGGCGUGGUGUUGGGGAUCGGCCAAAGCCCGCGAGGGACGGCCGGCCCCUAAAUCUAGUGGCGGACCCGUCGUGGCCUCCCCUGCGAAGUAGUGAUAUUCCGCAUCGGAGAGCGACGAGCCCCUGCCGUUAAACCCCCAACUUUCCAAGGUUGACCUCAGAUCAGGUAGGAAUACCCGCUGAACUUAAGCAUAUCAAUAAGCGGAGGA